rnacentral:rRNA from 1 species
AGUGAAUAGACCCAGGUAGUCCCAGCUGUAAACGAUGCAGACUAGGUGCUUGGACGGCCACGUGCCGUUCUAGUGCCGCAGGGAAGCUGUUAAGUCUGCCGCCUGGGGAGUACGAUCGCAAGAUUGAAACUUAAAGGAAUUGGCGGGGGAGCACCACAAGGGGUGAAAGCUUGCGGUUUAAUUGGAGUCAACGCCGGAAAUCUCACCGGGAGCGACAGCAGUAUGAAAGCCAGAUUGAAGGUCUUGCUAGACGAGCUGAGAGGAGGUGCAUGGCCGUCGCCAGUUCGUGCCGUGAGGUGUCCUGUUAAGUCAGGCAACGAUCGAGACCCGCGUCCUCUGUUGCAACCAGCUUUGUGCUGGGCACACUGAGGAGACCGCCACUGAUAAAGUGGAGGAAGGAGCGGGCCACGGCAGGUCAGUAUGCCCCGAAUCUCCCGGGCCACACGCGAGCUGCAAUGGCAAGUACAAUGGGUUCCGACCUCGAAAGGGGGAGGCAAUCUCGAAAGCUUGCCGUAGUUGGAA